UGCAAGUCGUACGCACUGGCCCAACUGAUUGAUGGUGCUUGCACCUGAUUGACGAUGGAUCACCAGUGAGUGGCGGACGGGUGAGUAACACGUAGGUAACCUGCCCCGGAGCGGGGGAUAACAUUUGGAAACAGAUGCUAAUACCGCAUAACAACAAAAGCCACAUGGCUUUUGUUUGAAAGAUGGCUUUGGCUAUCACUCUGGGAUGGACCUGCGGUGCAUUAGCUAGUUGGUAAGGUAACGGCUUACCAAGGCGAUGAUGCAUAGCCGAGUUGAGAGACUGAUCGGCCACAAUGGAACUGAGACACGGUCCAUACUCCUACGGGAGGCAGCAGUAGGGAAUCUUCCACAAUGGGCGCAAGCCUGAUGGAGCAACACCGCGUGAGUGAAGAAGGGUUUCGGCUCGUAAAGCUCUGUUGUUGGAGAAGAACGUGCGUGAGAGUAACUGUUCACGCAGUGACGGUAUCCAACCAGAAAGUCACGGCUAACUACGUGCCAGCAGCCGCGGUAAUACGUAGGUGGCAAGCGUUAUCCGGAUUUAUUGGGCGUAAAGCGAGCGCAGGCGGUUGCUUAGGUCUGAUGUGAAAGCCUUCGGCUUAACCGAAGAAGUGCAUCGGAAACCGGGCGACUUGAGUGCAGAAGAGGACAGUGGAACUCCAUGUGUAGCGGUGGAAUGCGUAGAUAUAUGGAAGAACACCAGUGGCGAAGGCGGCUGUCUGGUCUGCAACUGACGCUGAGGCUCGAAAGCAUGGGUAGCGAACAGGAUUAGAUACCCUGGUAGUCCAUGCCGUAAACGAUGAGUGCUAGGUGUUGGAGGGUUUCCGCCCUUCAGUGCCGGAGCUAACGCAUUAAGCACUCCGCCUGGGGAGUACGACCGCAAGGUUGAAACUCAAAGGAAUUGACGGGGGCCCGCACAAGCGGUGGAGCAUGUGGUUUAAUUCGAAGCUACGCGAAGAACCUUACCAGGUCUUGACAUCUUGCGCUAACCUUAGAGAUAAGGCGUUCCCUUCGGGGACGCAAUGACAGGUGGUGCAUGGUCGUCGUCAGCUCGUGUCGUGAGAUGUUGGGUUAAGUCCCGCAACGAGCGCAACCCUUGUUACUAGUUGCCAGCAUUAAGUUGGGCACUCUAGUGAGACUGCCGGUGACAAACCGGAGGAAGGUGGGGACGACGUCAGAUCAUCAUGCCCCUUAUGACCUGGGCUACACACGUGCUACAAUGGACGGUACAACGAGUCGCAAGCUCGCGAGAGUAAGCUAAUCUCUUAAAGCCGUUCUCAGUUCGGACUGUAGGCUGCAACUCGCCUACACGAAGUCGGAAUCGCUAGUAAUCGCGGAUCAGCAUGCCGCGGUGAAUACGUUCCCGGGCCUUGUACACACCGCCCGUCACACCAUGGGAGUUUGUAACGCCCAAAGUCGGUGGCCUAACCUUUAUGGAGGGAGCC
rnacentral:rRNA from 1 species